rnacentral:lncRNA from 1 species
CUUCCUAGGCCUGCGUUCGCGUCCGCAAACUCCCGCCUCCUUGCGCUCCCCCCGCCCGGGAGCUUCACGUGCGCCUUGGCGGCCGCGGGGGCAGGUCCGGGCUGGACGCCUGGCGGAGGACGCGGGCAGGUGGCUUGUGGGAGGCUGGGGCAUAGUUGAGCUGCAAGGCGCAAACCGAUGAGGGGCGUCUGCUUUUCACCAGGGCGCCGUCGCUUUUGUCGGGAAACCGGCAGCGUAGGCGCGCAGACCGGGAAGCGGCAAGAAGAUUUGGCCACGAGCUGGGGUCUUCCUGGAACGGAGAGAAAGCACGGAACCCGCACCGGGCUUCUCUGGCAUCGGCAGUCUACGUGCUCCUCGCGCUGGCACCGAGCAGCCACUCCCCGCUGGGUUUGGCAAAGGCUGCUCUUGUAGAAUUUUAAAGGAUUUAGAGUCUCAUUAUUCCUUGAAUCAUAACUUCUGCGGCCGUAGGGAAGUGGACAGGUUGAGGUGGUCUUUCUAUUCGUCAUUCACUCUUAUUUGCAGGUUCUGUUUCAUGUACUUGGACGUCUUUUAGCCUCUCACACCUUGAAAUUCUAGUGUGAAAAAGUGACCUCUGAAGUCUCACGCACUCAACUCGUUUGACGAACUCGUUUGACGUGUUCUCUCUUGCCCUUUGUUGUCUGUUGUCUUGAGUCUCAUAGAAUAGGUUUGAACCUUUCACUGUCGGUUUUGUAGGAGUCACUGAGGAUAUUGACGAGGCAAGUGACAGGGUCGACACUCUUGUAGAGAGGCUGUAUAGCAACCAGGUGUCUGAAGGAUUAGAGGCUGGGGAAAGAGUGGGAAAGCAGUUAGUAGGCUAGGGUAUUUGUGCGUGAGGUGAGGAGACUCAGAGCUAGGGGAGACAUUAGAGCAGGGGUUGGCAAACAUUUUUUGUAAAGGGCCCGAUCAUAUUUUAAGUCUCUGCCUUAACUACUCAGCUCUACCUUGUAACGAGAAAGCAGCCAUAGACAAUACUUGAAUGAGUGUAGCUGUCUUCAGUAAAACUAUGGACAUUGAAUUUUUAAUAUAAUUUCAGGUAUGAAAUAUUCUUUUGAUUUUUAAGAAAAUCAUUGAAAUAUGUAAAUUUUUUUUUUUUUAGUUCUGGAGAGGUGCAAAAACAACUUAUAAGCCAUAUUGCUGAGCCCUGCAUUAGAGGUACCUGAGGGAGAGCGACACAAUUGGUAGUAAAUGACCAUAUACUCUAUCCUUCAAUAUGGAACACUUUUGGAAGUAAAGUAGGGCAUUAAUAAUUAUAGCCAGAGACCAGGAGUUAUAUCAGUUUUAUCCCAGGCAAACCUAAAGGAAUAGUCACCUUAAGGUUAAGGGUUAGGAGAAGUCAAAAUUGCUUUAGGACUUGGUAACAGAAAAUGGGAGGUGCCAGUGAUGGAAAUAGGAAGAUAAAGAAGAAACUGGUUUUGAGGAGAAGAUAGCUGUAGCAGUCCCAAGAGCUGUAUACAGUUGAGACAACAUUGAUAGGAAGGAAGAAAGCACCCCAGAAGCAGGCCACUCCUUAUAUCUUAUUGACCAGAACUGGGCUAUUAGCUGUCCCUAAAGCAGUAACAGACAAGGAGCAUGGGACAUCCAUGAUUGCCUAGUGUUUAUCUGGCUUUUUUAAUUCUUAUUCAGGACUGUGUUGAGCAUUGCUGGACAUUUACCAUCUCUGGUUCCUUCCAGCUAAAUGUCAGUACCACACCUCAGGCAUUGUGACACCGUAAAUCAACCGUUUUUCCCUCCCACCCCCCAGAGGUGUGGUACUGGUUGAGAACCAGUAGCUUAGACCCUCAGGAUUUACCUUGGGGCUGAAUUAGUGUGUGUAGGUUUCUUUUCCAGUUGGUUUGGAGGGAAGAGAGGAAUUGGACAGUAUUAAAGUUCUGCUGUCAAGGAAGUGGGCUGGGGAAUGUUGGGUAGCUAACCAACAUUGGCUGCCACGUGAAGUAAAAAAGUUUUCCUUUAUAUCCUUGAUAAAAUAGUGUCUCGACUUCUUCACACUUGAAGCCUUCCCAAAACCCCAGCUUUUUUGAUUCUCAUUGUAAGCCCCUUGAACUGGACUAGUUGGAAGUUCUUAUUUUCCACCCUAAGUAACAAGCUCUUGUCCCAAUAGGAUACUCUUGCUUUGAGUACUGCAAUAACUUUCCAAUUGGUGACUUGCCGUCAGUCUUUUCCUAUUUCAUUCCUACACGAAGAGACUAGAACUGUGUUCUGAUUUCCUUUGCUCAGACACCAAUCUCCAGGGGUGCUCUGUAAUUUGAAGAGGACAACUCAGAAAGCACUCAAGGGCCUCCAUAAGUCCCUGAGUGGCUUCCCUGCCUUCCCGUUCCCCAGCAAACAAUCCCUUGGAUACCCUCUAUUAAAUGAUACGUUUCCCCUUACAAUACCUAGUCCCUUGCCCCAUAUAUGCUAUGUGUAUUGCACAGUCUAGGACUUGACUCAUGCUGUUUCCUCACGGAGCAUGCCCUUCUUAUUUCUAACCAUACAAAUUCCAUGACCUAUCCAUUCUUUCAAUUCUACUUCCACCUGAGGCCUCUAUCAGCCCACAUUAACCUACCUUCUUUGAAUUUCUGUGUGUUCCUUACCUGUACCACCCAUUUUGGCCUUUUAUUUUAUGCUCUUCUUGACUAUUCUGUUAUUGAAACUGUCCUUUAGAUCCCAAGAUUUCUACUUUUUCCCUGCGGAUGCUUUUUUAUUUUUUUUAUUUUUGACUUCUUUCUACCCUCCUUUUCCUCUUACAUCCCUGCUUUGCCUAGAGGACAUCUACAAGAAUCGUCAUGUACAUUCUUUUCUCCUGUUGUUAGCUUUUUUCCCCUGACACUUCAUCUAUUUACUGAUUUACUUGUAAAUCUCUGGAAGAUAUUAGUACUAGCCACCAAAUAUUUCUAUUUCUUUUUCCACACACGUAGAUUUGGAUUUCCCUACUCCUUUUACCUCAAGAAUGGCCAAUGAAAUGUGAUUGGAAGUGACUUGUGUCAUUUCCAAAUAAAAGCUUUAAGAGCCUGUGGACAUUUAUCCUGCGCUGUUUCUUCCUGCCAACAGUGAUGAAAUAUUUUAAUUAUCUAUUGUCCCAUGACAAAGCACCUUAAAUCUUAAUGGUUUAAAACAGUCACCAUUUUAUUAUGUGUAACAGUUUUGUGGGUUGACUAGGCUCAUGGGCAGUUGUCUAAUCUUGCUCAGGGUCUCUCAUGUGGUUCCAGCCUGGUAUUGUUUGGGGCUGGAGUUUUUGGAGGCUCAACUAGGUUGCUAGAGUAGCUGAGCUUUUCUAUUUACCCAUGCCGUUCCAAAGACUCUCUGAUUCACAUGGCUUCUUCAGCAGAGUAGCCUGACUUCUUUCUUGCAUGGUGGCUUAGGAUUCUCAAAUGCAAUAAAAGCAAAAACUUCGAGGUUUUGUAAGUCUUAGGUCUGGAAAUGACAUGUUGUAUUGGUAAAAGCAGUUACAGGGCCAGCUCAAUUUUAAGGGGAGAGGAAAUAAACACUUGAUAGGGGUGGAGGGAGAGUGACAAAGAAUUUGUGGCCAUCUUUAUUACAAAAAUUUUUGUCAACCACAGAGUUACAGGAAAAUGUGGCCAUCUUUAAUCACUACUCCAACGAUGUUUCAAAUUGAGUGGGCUUCCAUCAGCCAGGGUCUCGGAGACAGGACAAAGUGGAAAACAGCUCCCAAAUAACAUACCUAGGUAUAUGAAUAAGAAAUACAUCUCUGCUGUCCUGAGUCACUUAGCUAUUUGGAGUUGUUUGGUAUCAACUUUUGCAUACUAAUAUAAAAAUUGGUACUGGAAAUAGGGUGGUGCUAUAACAAAAAUCUAAAAUAUGAGUCACUGACAUAUAUAAUAAUUGAGUUAGAAAUACUAGUGGUUGGUUGUUAGGCAGCAUCCAGCUUUGACUCACUUAUGCAUUUCCCAGUGAACCUAGCUCAGAAGUUUGCACCAUGAUAUUCAAUAAAUAAUUCUUAAAUAAGAGAGAUUGUUUCUUGUAAUUUUUCCCUAUUUUAGGGAAAAACUUUUUUUUUUUUUCCAUAUCACAUUUUUCUUGAAACAUUGGAGUGCCACGAACAUAUCAUUUGAUGCUCUGUUUGAGUGCCACCAGUGAGUUUCCCGAUGUUUAAGUUUGGCUCGUGGGCAGCCCACCUUCUUCCUCUCCACUUUCUCUUGGGAGCCAUCCUGCUCAUGGAAAGUGUGCUUUCUCCUCUGCUACCUCACACAAGUUUCAAAGGAGCUUGCUCCUGCCAGGGGAGGCUUGGGGUAAGCCAAACAGCAUCAGCUCCCCGGGGGAAGGGAAAUUUCAGGUUUGGAGCUAAGUUCACUUCCAGGGAGUGACAAAGCCUGUUUGAACUUUAAUUCACAGAGUAAAAGAGUUCAAUGUUGGCCAUUAAUGAUUUGGACUUUAACAUGAAGUUGGUACUGAUUACUUUGGGCCAUAAUUUAGAAGGACAGAGUGAUUUAAUCUCUGAACUUUUAAUUUCUCUCUGGAAAAUUAAUACUGGGAGAGGGUUAAAAUCAAAUUGAGAACAUCUUGUUGGUUCUUAGUUAUUAAAGUAUUUGAUCACAUUUUAGAAAUUCUGAUAACUUUGGGCAAGCUGACAGGACAUAGUUUGAGAUGGCGAUAGAACAUAUUGUGAAUUACAGCCUUGGAUACAGAAUAGCAUUGGAACUGAUUUAAUCGAUAAAUUGUUCUGACCCAUUCAGGGCAUUUUGGGGACAGACUCUACAGUUUACUAGUGGCCCCAGGACAUCCUGCAAAAGAGGUGAAAUCAGUAUUGGAGAAGUGGUCUCAUGAAGAUGGGAGCACGACUACUACAAUUGACUGCUGACUUCUCACCCAAGGAAGUAACUGUAUCCCAGCCUAAUCUCAGUGGAUAAGCCCACAGGGUUAAGAGAUGUUCAAGAAAAAGAACAACUUCAGUGGAAGAAGAAGAAGAUAGGAGCCCAGGUCCUGUGUUUCACCAAGACAGCCGUGCAAAGCAGAUGCUGCCAAAAAGGUGCAAAGUGGUUUGUCAGCUCUUCUGCAUGUUCUAACAAAUUAGACAUGCAUCCCAAAAGGUUUCCUAGACUUUCCAUCACCACCAGUGAAUUCUGAGUGACAAUAGUGUGGAAUUUGGAAGAAUGGAAGAGAAACUGAAGUGGAGAGAUGGUGAAAGAGAAGAAAAAAUGAAGAAAGAUGCUUGCAAAAAUACUGCUGUGGGUCCUGAGAUGAGGAUUCUGGGAGGGCUGAAAUGGAUGCCCCUGACAGCUCCCUUUGAGUUCCUGUUCAUCUGAAGUACACCAGCUUUCUAGAUAUGCUGUCACUUUCCUUCUGCAGAGCCACAGUGGUGUCCUGUCUUCUCAGACCUCUUCUCACCUCAAAUCACUUAGGACUCGGCCACCAGACAGAUUUGGGAUUUCAGAACUUUUCAGAUGUUAGAAAGUUCUUUUCUAAAUGUGAUGAGGAAUUACGGAAUCAUAAAAUGGAAGCAGAGUUAAACUCAGACAUGUGGGCACUCAAGGCAAUUAGGAGCUUUCUGCGAUGAGAAAGGGAUCAGACUGAUCCUUAAGACUUUAUGCAACCCCAGAGUAUUGCAGCCACCUGCAUGCCGAAGGUGUCAAGAGUGUUCUCACUGCUGCCUAUAGGAGGGUCUUCAGCCUCCAGUGAUCCAAAGUACCAGGCUGACCUGUGACUGCUUCGGCCAACUGAAUAGGGAAGAGUGAUGCUGUGCUGUUUCCAGGCCUGUUCUUUAAAAGUACUUGGAAGCUUCUGCCUUGGCCUCUUUGUGCCUGAGUUGCUGUAUAAGAAUCUGACUACCUUGCUGGAGAGACCUUGUGGAGAAGACUUGACCUUAUAUGCAGAGGUAGAGGGGCCCUGGUUAGUCCAGCCAUCUAGCCAUCCUGUCAAAAUAGCAGAUCCAUUUCCUGCCCUUCUUUUAUUCUACUCUGUAUUACAGCCAACCACAUUUCCAGGCUCCCUUGUCCUCUGCUAUCUAGAUCUGUAUGCAAGAAGAAAUGAAAAAGAUGAACAGGUAGAGUCCAGGACUACCUACCACAGCUCAGGUCAACAUUAAUUUUAUGAUUUAAUUAAUUCCAUAAAUUCUCUUUUCUGUAUGAAUAUAAGGUUCCUCCCUCCCUGUACUCACACAUCUACCUCUUCUAGGAGUUGCCUUGGGAUCCACAAAGAAAUUGAGGUGGUCCAGUACUCAUAAGCCAACAAACUUCAAAGGAGAGUCAAAUGUACAUUUUCAAAAUAAGAGUACUGAAAAGCAUUGAAAUAAACACACAAAAAGAGAUUCAAAUGUACAUCUUAAAAGGAGGAGGAGAUUCUUUGAAGAAGUAGGGGAAUAUGACGUUGAAAGUCUCUGAAGAGGUUGUGAUAGUUGUUUAAGGGAGUAGAACAUUAAAACAUUUUUGUCUGUUCAAUCUUAAUUUUUAAAAAUGAUAGCAUAGAGUUUGGCCAAUUAUGGAGGGGCUGAUUUCAUCACUAUCAAUGAGCAGUAAACUUUCUUGGUCUUUUAUUUGGGGAAUGUAUUUAUUUUACUUUCACUUUUGAAUGAGACUUAGCUGAUGCAAUGGACUGAAUUGUGUUCCUCCAGAAUUUGUAUGUUGAAGCUGUAAGGGCAAAUGUGACUGUAUUUGGAGGCAGGGCCUUUAAAGAGGUAAUUAAGGUUAACUAAGGUCAUAAAGAUGGGGCCUAACCCAAUAUCACUGUCCUUAUAAGAAGAGACACCCGGGAUGCAUUUGCACAGAGAAAAGGCCCCAGGAAGACACUGCAAGAAGAGGGUGCUCUUCAAGUCAGGGAGAAACCAAACCUACUAACACUUUGAUCUUUGACUUCUGGGCUCCGUAACUGUGAAAAAUAAGCUUCUGUUGUUUAAGCCACCUAAUUUGAGGUAUUUUGUUAUGGCAGCCCUAGAAAACUAAAUACAGCUGGGUAUAGAAUUCUAGGUUGAUGAUUUUGCUUUUAUAGUAUUUUUAUAAUAUUUUGAGAUGUGUGUCUUUGAAGUUCUGCAGUUGCAUUAUAUUGUGGCUUGCUUUGGAUUUGUUACAUUUAAGCUUUAUUUAUCCUUCCUGGAAUUCAUUACAGUUUUUGAACUUCAGGAUUCAAGUGUUUUAAUCAUUGAUGAAAACAUUUCAACCAUUAUCUCUUCAAGUAUUGCCUGUCUUAUUUUCCUCUAUUUCGCAUUCUUGGAAUUAAAUCUGUUGGUUCUCCUUUUCCGUCUUCCAUGUCCCUUAAUCUUCCAUAUUUUCCAGAUCUUUAUAUCUCUGUGCCUAUUGAGUAAUGUCUAAAAUCUGUUUUCCAGUUUAUAAAUUAUCUUGCUAUAUCAAAUCUGCUAUUUAACCUACUCAUUUAAGUUUUCAAUUUCCUUGACAUAUACCUAUGUGAAUGGGUGGGUUUUUACUUAGACUACCUUUUCAUGUAGAAUAUGUAGACUACCUUUUCAUGUAGAACCUAGCUUCUAUGCAAGGUUCUCAAUUCCAAUUUCCUGUCCACUUGGGCCCAGUGCUUACCUCAUGUUUCCACAUGAGCGUGAAAUCACAAGCCCUUGGGUGAACAGAAUCAGUAAUCACUGGUCGGGUGCAGUGGCUCAUGCCUGUAAUCCCAGCACUUUGGGAGGCUGAGGUAGGCGGAUCAUGAGGUCAGGAGUUUGAGACCAGCUUGGCCAACAUGGUGAAAUCCUGUCUCUACUAAAAAUACAAAAAAAAAAAAAAAGUAAAUAAAUAAAAUUAGCUGAGCAUGGUGGCAUGCGCCUGUAAUCCCAGCUACUUGGGAGGCUGAGGCAAGAGAAUUGCUUGAACCCAGCAGGUGGAGAUUGCAAUGAGCCGAGAUCACCCCACUGCACUCCAGCCUGGGUGACAGAGCGAGACUCCAUCUCAAAAAAAUUAAUAAAUAAUAAUAAUAGUCACCCUUCCACCUCCAUAGCACAGCUACGUCAUGAACUGACACCUUAAAACUUUGUUCUGUUUUCAAUUAUCUCUUGGUUUCUGAUGCCUGGGUAUUUCUUUUUCUUUCUUGAGAGCUUAAGCAUGAAUAUAAAACAUUUCAAAUUUUAUAUUUUAUCCAGUAUUUCUAGCUUUUUAAUAGUGAGAUUUAUCUUACUCUCCCAUUUUAUUAAAACAGAAAGUCUUGAGUAACAUUUUAAUACUGAGAAAAAAAGCCUCAUUAUUAGUUUUAGAAAAAGAGAGACAAUCUGUGUUGUUCUGGAACCAAGACAAAGUUCUAGAAGAUUCUCUCUUGAUCCUUAAACAGCAUAGAAAAACCAGGUAAGUUGACUAUGUUCACGUUUAGGAGUAUGAUGGCCAAUGGAUCCAAAACCUAUCCUAUAUCUACAUGUUGGUGGCCACAUUAAUCUGACAUCUGACAGCAAGAGCGAUGAUUGGGUUCACUGGAAAUCUUUGUGAAGUACGAGUGAAGUCCUUGUGAAGUCAGAGUUUCCUCUUCAUGCCUCUACUCCUAUGCAGUUUGACCUCUCAGUGUGCAGCUGGUGAUAGAUGGAAACCCUUGUUCAUAAGCUUUGUGGCACUGUCGGCAGGAUGAGGGGACUUCUGGAUCCUCACUGGUCACUGUGGCAGAGUGGUUGGUGUUGUCUGCUCCCUAGACAGGAACCCACUGAAGAAUCUGACAUUUUUUGAUAUGCUGGCAUUCAUUGUUACAGCCCAUCAUCCCAGCCAUCAAUCCAGGACAUGGGGUCUGUGCCCACGGUGGGAAGGAGGAGGGGGAAGCUGGCUUUGUUCUGACGUUGGGCUUCUUCUGCUCCACCAGUACUUUCUGUGGGGGAAAUAGGUAAAGAAAUGGCUGUUCAGAUGAGAAGAUGUGUCAGUAAACUUUUGCUACAGUGAUGCUGCAAAACAAAUCACUGGUGACUUUCAGUGGCACACAGCAAUAAACAUUUAUUUAGCUCAGGGAUUGACAAUCUUUUUUUUUUUUUAAAGGGCCAAAUAGUAAAUAUUUUAGGUGUUUCAGGCCAUACAGUCUCUGAACUCUGAACUUGUAGCACAACAGUAGCCUUAGAUGCUAUGCAAAUGGAGGAGCAUGACUGUGUUCCAAUAAAACUUUAUUUAUGGACACUAAAAUUGGAAUUUCAUGGAAUUUUUAUAUGUUAAGAAAUAUUAUACUUUGAUUUUUUUCAAC